CAAAGUGGAAUUUGACUCUUCACCAGCAGCUGGGACAAGUAGAUUGCAGAGCCAUGGACCACCAGCAGAUGUGUCUCCUGACUCAAAAUAUGCUGUCAUCAACUGCAGACGUUAGGAAGCAUUUAAAAUAUCUGUUGGAAAAUCACGUCAUUGCAGAUUCUGAAAGUCCUUAUGCAUCACCCAUAGUAGUAACCAGGAAAAAGAAUGGGGACAUACGUUUGUGCUUUGACUAUAGAACCCUGAAAAAUUGCACCAUAGUGGAUCAGUAAACUGUUCCAAAAGUGGAAGAGGCAUUAGAUUGCCUACAGGGAAGCAAAUGGUUUUCAGUUCUUGAUUUACUCUGUGGUCAUUACCAAAUUCCAAUGCAUCCGGACGUCCGGGCUAAGGCUGCAUUCAUCUGUCCCAUUGGAUUUUUAGAAUUUAUCAAGAUGCCUCAAUGAAUAAAAGGAGCUCUCACCACUUUGCAACGUACCAUGGAGCAGACUGUGGGAGACAUGUGUUACAGAGAAGUACUGGUCUAUGUAGAUGAUGUCAUCAUAUUUGGAAAAACCUUGGAUGAAUGUAAUGCCCGCUUGUUAAAAGUGCUGGACCGAUUAAGUCAGCAAGGGUUAAAAUUCUGCAUAGACAAAUGUAGACUGUGCCAAACCACCGUAAAGUACUUAGGACAUGUGGUAAGUCGAGAAGGAAUUUCAACCAUACUGACAAGGUAGACGCCGUCUUUUGAAUUUAAAGGAUCUGCGCUCUUUUCUUGGUUACUGUGGCUAUUAUCGUCGUUUUGUUCCUCACUAUUCCAAAAUAGCUCAACCAUUCACUGAUCUCACCUUUGUGGGUCAGGGAAUAUACCAGCGUCAGCACAAUCAAUGUAAACCAAUAGCCUAUGUCAGUAUAGGAUUGUCCAAAAGCGAAAAGAAAUAUGUCGUACACAAACUUGAAUUCUUGGCCCUUAAGUGGGCAGUAGUAGACAAGUUCCCUGGUUAUUUGUCGGUGUGAAUUGUAAACGUUGCUCCAUACAACAACCCUCUUACCUAUAUUAAUACCACAGAUAAACUAGAUGCUACAGGUCACCGCUGGUUGGCUGCCUUAUCCAAUUACAAUUUCACUCUAAAGUAUAAGUCUGGGAUUCAUUACGUUGAUGCUGAUGUAUUAUCAAGACUACAACAUCCUCCUACAGACAGCACUAAUGAUGAAUGGGUGGAGGUGCCUGCUCCUGCAAUACGCAGCCCCUUUCAUCAGACAUUACUACUGAACAAUCCAUCCAAGGGAGCAGCAAAUGUGCUAGGAGCAUCUGGGUCAGCGCUACCGUUAAUGUAUUGCUGGAUAACUCAAGCUGAACUCAAUGAUUUACCGCUGAUCACCAAAGAGCAACUGAGAACAGAACAACAGCGUGAUCCUCAUUUGGCUUUAGUGAUGCAGUAUUGGCAGAAUGGUUACAUUGCUUCUGACUUAAUUGGAAUUUCCAACCAAGGUGAUAGAUUACUACUCGAACGAUUAGGAUUUCCACAUCAUCAAAAGAUUGCUAGUAGAUGGCAGAGACUCCUUACCGAAUAGUGAAAAAGCUACCUGAUAGUCCGGUGUAUCAACUUACUCCUGAGAGUGGAACUGGACCUCUACUUACUUACCAUCGACAACAUUUGCUACCUAUUGGACAGGAUAUCUCUUUUCCAGAUGUUACUAAAGUGGAAGAAGACCCAGCAGAAUCAGUGACCCUUAAUAAAGUAGAUUCAGCUCAUCCAGACCACUCAUUAGGUGAAUACACACCAACUGAAUUCACUGACGUUGAGAUGGGAUAUUUUUACAUUAAUGCAUUUCAAAAUGACAUGCCAAACCAAAGUGAGACUACAAACUAUUGAACAACAGAUGAUUGCUACAGGAAGGAGAAGUUGUAAAUUCUGAUUGUGGUAAAUGGGACUGUGCCAGUGAUAAGAAUAGCCAAUCUCCCACACCUGAUGUAUUGUCAACUCCUUCAAUUCCUAGGUCUGAGACUGCAACAUCUGUAUCUUGGGAAGAAACUAACCACACUCAAACACAACGCCUACAUAGGCCGCCCAUGAUUCUUACCUAUGAUAGGCUAGGUAGCCACUCAUGAUACACCCUUGUGUGGUGCAGAGCCAGCCCACACCAAUAUGAUGCCCUAGGCAAGAUUUGGCUGGUGCCCCAUAGCACCACCGCUAGUUUUGCCUCUGACCCUGCACCCCUUUCCCAGCACCAUCACCCCUCACCCAUAGUAAUCCUAAUUUUAGUUCUCCUACCCUCUGUAUUUUAAAUAGAAACAAUGCGCAUUUCGGCGCACAGCUCAAAAAGAGGUGUGUUCUUGCUAGGAAGCGGCAUAGCCACACAAUAGCACUCCCAAUUCAAAUUACGCCACACAGUAGUGCAACUUUAUUCACAUUUUAUCAUGCAAUAUUGUCCCUUAUUCACGUUAAAUCACACAAUAAUGCCCCUUACACAUAUGCCGAACACUACUGCACCACCAACCCCCCCGCACACAGCACUCACAUGGCUGCUAACACUGUGGCCUCUGCCUCUGCUUGGAUACAGAUGUGUCCUCAUACAUCUUGCCUCAAUAUGCCAUGCAGCAGGAGAUGCCUGGCGUGAGUCAGCUGGCAGCUCUGCUAACGUCGGGCACCUUUUUGUCUUAUUUGCAUUGCUUUGUGGCUAGGAUGCACAAGCAGCUUCUUCUGACU